GGAUAUCACCAAAGAUGACGAGUCAUCAUUAAAGAGGAAGGCAAACAGUUCCAGUAAAUCGUGACAAGAAAAUUACCGUCCCCUGAAUGAAGAUGGUGUGUGGUCUGAGGGAGUAGUUCACAGAGAGAAACCUGUGUGCAAUAAACAGUCUGGAGGAGGCUAAAGAGGGACAACUCCGCUUGUCCUUAAAAUGGAGAGAUGAACUACUUUCUGCUGGAGAUUUACUUUUCCCUGUUUGUACAACAGAGUGAAUGACUGGCCAGCUGUAAACAUAGUCAAUAUGGAAACUGGCUAAGAUACCGCUAAAUCUGUAGCAGAAAUAGUCAUUCUUUUAUUUAUUUUCCAGAUUUCUAUCAAAGAGACAGACUAAUUUAUAUUCUAUGUACAUGCUUGUUCAAACCAUUCAUACAAAGGUGGAUCAAAUCUGUAAUGGCACACAGAGAUAGAGUUUGAUGAAAGAAGGGAUGUAGGGCUUGAAAUUUAAAGUUAUAACCAGAGAAGAUUUUUUUUACCUUAUACAGUCAGAGGCACAUCACGUGUCCACAUAGGCACAUAUCAUGCCCACAGACGCACAUCACGCACACACAGAAGAGGGACAACUGCGUCC